UGUGCAUAUUUCCAAAGCGGAGGAAAAGAAACCAACAGGGAUUGCCUUAGUAGCGGCGAGUGAAGCGGCAAAAGCUCAAAUUUGAAAUCUGGCGUAUUCUGCGUCCGAGUUGUAAUUUGAAGAAGGAUACUUUGGGGUUGGCUCUUGUCUAUGUUUCUUGGAACAGAACGUCACAGAGGGUGAGAAUCCCGUGCGAUGAGAAGCCCAAUUCCGUGUAAAGUGCCUUCGAAGAGUCGAGUUGUUUGGGAAUGCAGCUCUAAGUGGGUGGUAAAUUCCAUCUAAAGCUAAAUAUUGGCGAGAGACCGAUAGCGAACAAGUACAGUGAUGGAAAGAUGAAAAGAACUUUGAAAAGAGAGUGAAAAAGUACGUGAAAUUGUUGAAAGGGAAGGGCUUGAGAUCAGACUUGGUAUUUUGUAUGUCUUGCUUUCGGGUGGGGCCUCUGCAGUUUACUGGGCCAGCAUCGGUUCGGGUGGUAGGACAAUUGCGAAGGAACGUGGCACUGCUUCGGUGGUGUGUUAUAGCCUUUGUGGAUACUGCCUGUCUGGACCGAGGACUGCGUCAUUUGACUAGGAUGCUGGCAUAAUGAUCUUAAGUCGCCCGUCUUGAAACAACGGACCA
rnacentral:rRNA from 1 species